rnacentral:rRNA from 1 species
GAUCCUGCUCAGGACGAACGCUGGCGGCGCGCCUAACACAUGCAAGUCGAACGAGCGAGAGAGAGCUUGCUUUCUCGAGCGAGUGGCGAACGGGUGAGUAACGCGUGAGGAACCUGCCUCAAAGAGGGGGGACAACAGUUGGAAACGACUGCUAAUACCGCAUAAGCCCACAGGUCGGCAUCGACCAGAGGGAAAAGGAGCAAUCCGCUUUGAGAUGGCCUCGCGUCCGAUUAG